rnacentral:tRNA from 1 species
GCCUUGAUAGCUCAGUUGGUAGAGCGGAGGACUGUAGAUCCUUAGGUCGCUGGUUCAAAUCCGGCUCGAAGGA